UACGGAGGGGGCAAGCGUUGUUCGGAUUUACUGGGCGUAAAGGGCGCGUAGGCGGUUUUGUAAGUUACUUGUGAAAUCUCUGAGCUUAACUCAGAACUGCCAAGUAAUACUGCAGAGCUAGAGUGCAGAAGAGGCAACUGGAAUUCUUGGUGUAGCGGUGAAAUGCGUAGAUAUCAAGAGGAACACCUGAGGCGAAGGCGGGUUCCUGGGCUGACACUGACGCUGAGGCGCGAAAGCUAGGGGAGCAAACGGG
rnacentral:rRNA from 1 species